rnacentral:rRNA from 1 species
CCUACGGGUCGCAGCAGUAGGGAAUCUUCGGCAAUGGACGAAAGUCUGACCGAGCAACGCCGCGUGAGUGAAGAAGGUUUUCGGAUCGUAAAACUCUGUUGUUAGAGAAGAACAAGUAGGAGAGUAACUGCUCUUACCUUGACGGUAUCUAACCAGAAAGCCACGGCUAACUACGUGCCAGCAGCCGCGGUAAUGCGUAGGUGGUAAGCGUUGUCCGGAAUUAUUGGGCGUAAAGCGCGCGCAGGCGGUUCCUUAAGUCUGAUGUGAAAGCCCACGGCUCAACCGUGGAGGGUCAUUGGAAACUGGAAAACUUGAGUGCAGAAGAGGAAAGUAGAAUUCCAUGUGUAGCGGUGAAAUGCGCAGAGAUAUGGAGGAACACCAGUGGCGAAGGCGACUUUCUGGUCUGUAACUGACGCUGAUGUGCGAAAGCGUGGGGAUCAAACAGGAUUAGAUACCCGGGUAGUC